ensembl:lncRNA
CAGCUGUGUCCCUUCCACACCAGUGUCCUGACUCCUCCCCCAGGACAGAGAGCCCUUCCCCUCCACACCCUGGGGCCCGAGAAGUGGGCAUCUGAUUUCUUCCCCUUCUCCCUACAGCCUCUUGAAUGGAUGGAGACAGAGUCCCUCUGCAGACAUAAGAGGACGAGAGCUCUGGCCCAGAGGCCAGUGCCCUCUGCAGUUUCCCAGGGACAGGAGCCCAUGCCUGCUAGAGACAGAGGGCGGACACGGAGCCUGGGUGGGCUUGAUCAGCAUGCAGACUGAGCCUCCUUUAGCCCGUUUCCCUGCCCCUUUGUACAGGCUCUGAAGACAAGUUACAGGACAUGAGAAGAAACCCCAGGUGGCCUCCCCAUCAGCUGGUGAGCGGGUAGAGUCCUGACCAGAUGCCAGAGCAGUUUAAGAUGUCACUUCAUCCAGAGGGCAGAGGACAAGCAGGAGACCAACAGAGGCCCAGUUGGUCCAAGGAGCACUGGGGAGGAGGAGGCCAGCAUCGCUGGAACGCGCUGUCUCUGUCUCGGACAAACGGGAUCAGACGUGUGAGGUCGUGGUGGUGCCUGAAAACCAGAACUGACUCCGUGGGAAGACUCAGAACCAGAUGCUCCAGCACCGUUAUCCCAGGGGCCUCGCCCACACCCCCAGAUCAUCACAGAACCGAAGACCGAAGACCCAGUUAGUCUCAUGAAAGAACUAGGAAAACAAACCCAGGGAACUGAGAGGAUUUAACCCAGGACUGACGACUCGGUGGAUGACUCUGGGGUCCUUGCGCCCAGCCCAGACCAGCCCUGGAAGAUGGUGGCUCAUCUGCUCCUAGAGGAAGGGAACGAGGAGGGGGAUGGGAAGAGGAGGGUGGGGAGGGGACAAAAGAAAAGAGCUGGAAAGAUUUGAACUUCUGACCUUGGCUGGGGCAGAGCCAGGAUAACGGAGGACCCCAGCCUCAUCCCAGGUGAGUAGGAAUCAGACCCUGGGGUGAUGAGGAUUUGUGUGGAGGAGUGUGCUCCCCGGGAUAGUCAGAGGAUGGUGAGCAGUCAGGGAAGGGAGGGAAAGUGUGCCUUUCAGGCAAAGCCCCACCCCAGCCUUAGUGGACCCUGGAGCGAAAGCCAGGAAGCCAGAAGGGGCAGGCUUCAUUCUCCUGCAACAGAAGCCCCUCCCCACCGGGGACGGGCUGACUCCCAGGCACUGGGUUCCCUGAGCAAGUGGAGAGUGGCCUGGAGGCUCCAGGCAGCCCCCACCGGAGGGAGGAACUGAAGAGGGGGAGGACAGAGCCGGCACCCCCUACUACUCACAGAAAGCACCUUGGCGUCAGACUGAAAUGUUUCUUCCCUUUCGGAGUUCACAGUUCAGAAGAAAGACAAUUGCAUACCAUUCACACCUAUGUAAAUAAUGAUGAGCUAUGGCUCAGUGGGUAAAGAAUCUGCCUGCAAUGCAAGAGACACAGAAGACUCAGUUUCGAUCCCUGGGUCAGAGAGAUUCCCUAGAGGAGGAAAUGGCAACUCACUCCAGUGUGCUUGCCUAGAGAAUCCCCUGCCCAGAGAUACCGCCAAGAUGCUUUGGAACACGGGAGUAAGUGGUUAAUU